UACGUAGGGUGCGAGCGUUGUCCGGAAUUAUUGGGCGUAAAGAGCUCGUAGGCGGUUUGUCACGUCUGCUGUGAAAUCCCGAGGCUCAACCUUGGGCCUGCAGUGGGUACGGGCAGACUGGAGUGCGGUAGGGGAGAAUGGAAUUCCUGGUGUAGCGGUGGAAUGCGCAGAUAUCAGGAGGAACACCGAUGGCGAAGGCAGUUCUCUGGGCCGUAACUGACGCUGAGGAGCGAAAGCGUGGGGAGCGAACAGG
rnacentral:rRNA from 1 species